GGUUUGGACUGAGUACAAAAUGAUCACCUCUCAAGUCAAACACUAUUUUAGAAUGCACUUAUUGUAAAUUUCUCUGAAGAAAAAGUAAGAAAGCACCAUAAAAAAUGGCGGUCACAUGUGAAUUUGAGAAUGGUUUCUAUUAUUUUGUACAGGGAAGAAGUUUCUCAACCACAAUGGAUCAUUGUCAAUUGCUCUAUCAAUUUGUUUUCUCGAAUUUUGGCAAUGUCCUUGUUUACUUCCAGCUAGAUUUUUACAAGCUCUUAUGUGUUUUCAUUUACUCUAUUCAGUACAGGGAACAAGUUGUUUUCCGGCCAUAAUGAGUCAAUUAUACAACAGUGGUUAGAACAGAAACCAUGAAUGCUACAUUUGUUGGAGAGAAUGCUUAAUUGAACUCAACUUCAAUAGGAAAAUUGGAGAUAAAGUUGUAUGUU